rnacentral:rRNA from 1 species
CCUACGGGGGGGCAGCAGUGGGGAAUCUUGCGCAAUGGGCGAAAGCCUGACGCAGCAACGCCGCGUGCGGGAAGAAGGCUUUCGGGCUGUAAACCGCUUUCAGCAGGAACGAAAAUGACGGUACCUGCAGAAGAAGGAGCGGCCAACUAUGUGCCAGCAGCCGCGGUGAUACAUAGGCUUCAAGCGUUGUCCGGAUUUAUUGGGCGUAAAGAGUUCGUAGGCGGUCAAGUAAGUCGGGUGUGAAAAUUCUGGGCUCAACCCAGAGACGCCACCCGAUACUGCUUAACUUGAGUUCGAUAGGGGAGUGGGGAAUUCCUAGUGUAGCGGUGAAAUGCGCAGAUAUUAGGAGGAACACCGGUGGCGAAGGCGCCACUCUGGAUCGAUACUGACGCUGAGGAACGAAAGCAUGGGUAGCAAACAGGAUUAGAUACCCUGGUAGUCCAUGCCGUAAACGGUGGGCACUAGGUGUGGGUUUCUAUUAACGAAAUCCGCGCCGUCGCUAACGCAUUAAGUGCCCCGCCUGGGGAUACGGUCGCAAGACUAAAACUCAAAGGAAUUGACGG